ACAUGUAGUAAUAUGAAAGAUACAGUAAUAAGCAAAAUAAAUGUAAUAACUUAAUACUGAUCUUCAUCAUAUUAUGUGCAGGAAAAAAAACAUGAACUUCUGCGGAGAGUAAUGUUCGCAUACUAGAUUAAAUCACUCUGUUUAAUUCUAUUUAGGAAAACAUGAAACAGGUCAAUGUAUUAUUGUAAUCAGGCAGAAACAAUAGAGCAUGUUUUAAUAAAAUUUAAAAAAAUAUGAAAAAGAAAGGUUAAAACUCAUUAAGGAAACAUGGGUGUUGAAUCAUUUAAUUUGUUAAUCUGAUCAGCGCCGCGCUGUCAGUUCGGUGGCGCUGGUAAACACGUCCUCUCUGUGCUGUCGAGUCGGUCGUACAGCUCGGUCCAUUGAGCCACGCCGAUGACUGGUCAGUGCUGCGCGAACACUUUAAUACAGUGCUGUUUCAUCCUACUUUCGGUGUGUUUGUCUUCCCAUAAGACUACAGAGGGAGUGGUUCAGUCCCAGCAGGCUCAGCUUUUCAAUCAGGGUCUGAGGAUUAGCAGAUCAACAAGCGACUUCUUUUCUCUCCAGUACGGUUUAUCACUUCCUCUUCUGAGCAUCAGUAUAAACUGGGCAGAAGACACCUCUUGUCCUAGACUUGCUUCAAAACAACUGAUCUCAGCCUCAACAUGUCACUGCUCUCUUUCGUACUGCUGGCAGCUACUGCAGUGUGCUGCUUCACAACCCUCUGUGCAUCGCCAGUGA
ensembl:lncRNA